UCCCAAUGACCAUCUCUAUGUGUGGGACCAAUGGUUGAGCUCCACAGCCAUUAUCAGGUGAAGGGGAACCACAGUGUCACCUCCUCAAGGCCAUCUCCAUCUAUUGGGAGCACAGUGUCACCUCCAUAUCUGCUUAUGGAUGAUUGAUAAAGACCACAGUGUCACCUCCUCAAGACCAUCUCCAUUUGUUGGGUCCGCAAUGUCACCUCCAUAUCUGCUUAUGGGUGAUUAAGUGACCACAGUGUCACCAUCUCAAGGCCAUCUCCAUCUAUUGGGAGCACAAUAUGACAUCCAUAUCUUCUUAUGGGUGAUAAGAGACCACAGUGUCACCUCCUCAAGGCCAAUUCCACCCAUUGGGAGCACAGUGUCACCUCCAUAUCUGCUUAUGGGGGACAUAGACCACAGUGUCACCUCCUCAAGGCCAUCUCCAUCUGUUGGGGACCACAUUGUGAUCCCCACAAACCAGAUGUGACCACAUCACGUCCCAAUGACCAUCUGUAUAUGUUGGGACCACAACAUUCACAACCAUUUGUGGUUGACCGGGACCACCGUGUCACCUCCCAAUGGCCAUCUCUAUGUGUGGGACCAAUGGUUGAGCUCCACAGCCAUUAUCAGGUGAUAAGAGACCACAGUGUCACCUCCUCAAGGCCAUCUCCAUCUAUUGGGACCACAGUGUCACCUCCUCAAGGCCAUCUCCAUCUAUUGGGACCACAGUGUCACCUCCAUAUCUGCUUAUGGGUGAUAAGAGACCACAGUGUCACCUCCUCAAGGCCAUCUCCCUCUAUUGGGAGCACAAUGUGACAUCCGUAUCUUCUUAUGGGUGAUANCUUAUGGGUGAUAAGAGACCACAGUGUCACCUCCUCAAGGCCAUCUCCCUCUAUUGGGAGCACAAUGUGACAUCCGUAUCUUCUUAUGGGUGAUAAGAGACCACAGUGUCACCUCCUCAAGGCCAAUUCCACCCAUUGGGAGCACUGUGUCACCUCCAUAUCUGCUUAUGGGGGACAUAGACCACAGUGUCACCUCCUCAAGACCAUCUCCAUCUAUUGGGUGCACAGUGUGACCCCCUGCCAACCAUCCAUGGGUGACCCAACAUCUUCUCGUUGCCGUCUCUGCUUGUGGGGUGACCCUAAUGUGUGUGUUCUGGAUGCUUUCCUCACCCUGACGUCCCCACACCAUCCUUGGGGGGCUCCCAUCCCCUCCCUAUGGGGUGGCACCAUAAAGGGGGAUGGGAAGGGGGGGGGGGAGGGGUGUCCUUUCACCCCCCUGUUGUGCUCCGGGUGUUCCCUUUUUAUCCUUUGGGAUAAAAACAACCAGAAAAAAAAGGUCUUGUUCCUGGAACAGGAGCGCGCACGCUGUACAGUUUUGGGUUGGUUUUUUUUUUGUAUAAAAAUUGCUGUAUAGUUGAGUGUAAUUAGUAAAAUUCAUUGAGGAAGGGAUGGCUGUGUGGGCUUUCUUUGUUUGGGGUGGGGGGGAGAAUAAAGCUUCAAGUCCUGGGGGUCCCCUUAAAACA
rnacentral:lncRNA from 1 species